UAAGCAUAUCAAUAAGCGGAGGAAAAGAAACCAACAGGGAUUGCCCUAGUAACGGCGAGUGAAGCGGCAACAGCUCAAAUUUGAAAUCUGGCCUUCUGGUCCGAAUUGUAAUUUGUAGAGGAUGCUUUUGGUUAGGUACCUUUCGAGUUCCUUGGAACAGGACGCCUUAGAGGGUGAGAGCCCCGUACGAUUGGAUGCCGAGCCUCUGUAAAGCUCCUUCGACGAGUCGAGUAGUUUGGGAAUGCUGCUCUAAAUGGGAGGUAAAUUUCUUCUAAAGCUAAAUACCGGCCAGAGACCGAUAGCGCACAAGUAGAGUGAUCGAAAGAUGAAAAGCACUUUGAAAAGAGGGUUAAAUAGUACGUGAAAUUGUUGAAAGGGAAGGGCUUAUGACCAGACCUUUGCCUUGCGGAUCAUCCGGUGUUCUCACCGGUGCACUUCGCUUGGUUGAGGCCAGCAUCAGUUUUGGCGGCCGGAUAAAGACUUCAGGAAUGUGACUCCCCCGGGAGUGUUAUAGCCUGCUGUGUAAUACGGCCGCCGGGACUGAGGACCGCGCUUCGGCUAGGAUGCUGGCAUAAUGGUCAUCAGCCACCCGUCUUGAAACACGGACCAAGGAGUCGAACAUUUAUGCGAGUUUUUGGGUGUUAAACCCUCAAGCGUAAUGAAAGUGAACGGAGGUGAGAGCCCUUACGGGUGCAUCAUCGACCGAUCCUGAUGUCUUCGGAUGGAUUUGAGUAAGAGCAUAACUGUUCGGACCCGAAAGAUGGUGAACUAUGCGUGGAUAGGGUGAAGCCAGAGGAAACUCUGGUGGAGGCUCGCAGCGGUUCUGACGUGCAAAUCGAUCGUCAAAUCUGCGCAUGGGGGCGAAAGACUAAUCGAACCAUCCUAGUAGCUGGUUACCGCCCGAAGU
rnacentral:rRNA from 1 species